CCCAGCAGUUGUCAGCUGUCCAGGCUAGUGUGAUGCCUUGGGUGGUGUUACACUGUUGGAAGAGCAAAUGCUGCCUUUAUUGAGGUCUGGCUCCAAGCACUGUUUUGGUGUUGUGGCUGAGUACUCUUGGGCAGUGUUUUGCACCUCUGAGAGUGGAGUAACUCCUCCUGUGGAGUUGCUCCUAGUCUGGGUGCAAACAGG
ensembl:snoRNA SNORA74 Small nucleolar RNA SNORA74